rnacentral:misc_RNA from 1 species
UAAAAGAUAAUUUGUUGUUUCCAAACAUUCUUAAGGCUUAACGUUUACAUAUAUUGAUUUGGACUCAGAUAAAAGAAGUCUUAAUGCCAAACUACUGACUAUAUAAAUCUUCUUCCUCUGUUCUGUCCUCUUUGUGGAUAUUCAAGGGAGCAAUACUUUGAUUUUUCAUCGAAGCCUAUGUUUCCUGGAGGAAAACAAGGAAACAGCUCUUUAAGAUACUAAGAAAAUGAUGCUGCACCCCAUCUUUUUCAACGUUCCAAACUCAAACUGUUGUCCUUUAGCAAAUUAUAUCUAUGAGGCCAGGGGUCCCUUGAAUGUUAGGGCUUUAGUUAUUUGAGGCUGGCAGAUUAUGCAAGACAUUAUCUUCUAGUGCAUGUGGUACGAGUUAUGGGAGAUUUUUUUUUCUUGGGCAUCGUUCUGUUGCAAGGGGUAUGUGGAAUAUGCUUUUUGCCAUUUUUAGUGAAUUGGGGUUUUGCCUAUAAAUCUUGAAGAAUUUGAUACUGGUUUAUUUGAGGGAUCUGGGAUGAACAAAAAAGAAUAUGUAACAUAUUUCAGUGGCUUGGCAUAUCUGGAUAAAGAACAAUAUAAAGAUCGUGAAGCACCCACAUGUUAUUGUGCAGUUACCUUUUUGGCUUCCAUAACAGUGUUUAACAUUUGGAGAUGGAGUUUCUCCAGUUUGUGUACAACAAUAAUGGGAAAACCUUUUUUCAAUAGAUAAUGAAUAUUCUGUUUUUGUUCGUUACUUUUCUGUUUUUUAAGAGGAAAUGUUAUCUUCCUCAUACCCAAUAUCUUUUAACGUGGAGCAGCCGUGCAAUGGCUACAUAAAAUUGUCCCUCUUUGGGCAGUCAAUGAAAAUCAAGAAAUUAAGUGUUAACUUGAGCUAUGGAAUUAGCCCAUCUGAAAGUUCCAUCUCCUAUGGUUUUGCAACGUGGCCAAAUUCUGAAGAAGAAGUAGUCCUAGGCAUCUUGUUUAAUGUUUGCAGCAGGCUUUUUGAGCUGUGCACUGUAGAACAGAAAGGCUUGAGGAAAGAAAAUUUAGUCCCAAAAGAAAGAAGAAUAAUGGAUUAAAAAUAUGUACAGCGAAGAAAUUUAGGUUUGAAGAGAAGCUUGAAAGUUAUUACUUCGAUGCUCAAGGCUUGGAAAAUUUGAGGAAAUUCAGGGUUACAAGGAUGUAGCUCUCGAGAACAGUUCAGGCUCCUUUUCAUGGGCUUCCCUUAUUUUUUUUUUUAAUAAAUUUUCUUUUUCCUUCCAAAAGUAUACUUAAUAAAAAAUUUUUAUGCUAUAAAACAAAUAUAAUAAUAAUAAAUUAAACUUAAUAAAUUCACUUAGCAUGAAUGACGAAAAUGACUUUUAUAACAUGGAAUUAAUUCCUUUCAAAAAAAAAAGGAAUUAAUUUUUUUGCUUAUCGGAACAUGCAACACUUUAAAAAAUUGUAUUUUUUUGGGUUGUCUAACAAAACAUUGCUUUUUUGCUUCCAAAUAGCAAAUAGCAAAAAAAUGUAAAAAGGUAAAAACUAGAAAAGGCUAACCAAUGGAGCCUUAGGAUUUAAUUAUGGCUCAAAAAGGUAAUAUGAUUGAGAUUUGUGAACUGUGCUGAGGAAUUGUAGCAGCAACAGCUAGAGUUAAAAUAGAGGGAAAGAAGAAGAUAAAGGGCCACUGUAUUGCUAUUCUAGUGAUUUGAGUGCUAGCCUGUUAGUGUUGGAGGUCAAGAAUGUGUCACACCCACACAACCCCACCCAUGCACACACCCUCUCCUCAAUGCGUCUUCCCUUGGAUUAAAAAAGAAGAAGAAGAAGAA